GCAGUGACGCAAGGGCAAGUGCUGCUAAAUGGGACAGAACGGGACACGGCAACAGUAGAACAGGAAGGAUUCGGGGAUGCAAUAUUAUACACGAUAUUGGAGCCUAGCAUCUCGAGGCGUCUGAGGAAUUCUGAGAAGGAUACAUUGUGAACAAUUCAACAUAAUCAGGAUGUGGGUUGUGCGUGAGGCUAGCAACUUCAGCUCGGAGAAUGAUACUAUAUGUCAAGAAACAUAACCACAGAAGUCGGAUGGAUAAUUUAGGAAAAUGAAGACUGUUUUAAAGGAACCCAAGCUUCUGUGAAGACAGUGCAGCCAAUGAUUGCAGAAUGUCAUGGAAAACAGUGAGAACUGAUAAGCUUGCACUGCUACACUACCUGAA